rnacentral:lncRNA from 1 species
CACAUUCCCAGACUUUCUUACAUUUUAUUUUGAGACAGGGUCUCGCUUGCUGAGACUGGCUUUGAACUUGGAAGUCAAGGAUCUUAUACAAAAGGCACUCAGUGUAUGGUACCUAGGACAGCAGCUAUACACAGUAUAUAAGAAAGUGUAAAGCAUAUUAUACUUUCCCUAGUUUGAAAAUAUCAUCAAGGUAUUAUUUGAUUGUAUUCCUUGGCUUUCUGUUGUAUACCACCCUGAUCUUUCUCUUCUUUUUACAAGUACUACACUUGUAUCCUUUUGUGGGGCAGAGGGGAGGCACCAGGGAUAGAACCCAGGGGAGCCAUAUCACCAGCCCUUUUAAGAUAUUUUAUUUAGAGAUAGAUAGAGUCUCCCUAAAUUGCUUAGGCCCUUGCUAAAUUGCUGAGGCUGGCUUUGAACUUGCAAUCUUCCUAUCUCAGCCUCCAGAGCCUCUGGGAUUACAGGCAUGCACUACCACAUGCACUAUGCAUCUGACGUGUGUGUGUGUGUGUGUGUGUGUGUGUGAUGUGUAUGUGUUUUUAAUUAGUAUUCUAAUUCCCGGGACAAUCAGUAGCAUAUGCAGAUAAUUUGUUGUAGGACAGAAAUAUUAAGAGUAGUUUUGUUUCCUUUUUUAAGUUUUCUAUACUGCCUAUUUAUUUUUCCAUGUGAGUUUCAAAAUCAUUUACAUCACUUUACCUGGGUUUUAAUUGAAAGCACAUUAGAUAUUUAAGUUUAUGGGGGAUUAUUUCAUUGAGAGCAUAUAAUAAUUUUAUGCCCCUCAUUAUAAGUUGCAAAAUUUAUUAUAGUUCUGGUGUCUUCAAAAAUAUUUUUCUUCUUCCUAGAUAUGGACUCUGCAUGAGUACUGCAGUAUUUUAAGCUAGUCAUUGCUUAUAUAGGAAAGCUAUCCUGGUUUUGCUUUUGAAAUUGGCCACAUUCCUCACUCAUUUUUUCUAACAUUUUUUAGUUGAUUAGAGUAUAAUAGAGCAUUCUAAUUAUUUUCUGAAUGUCUAAUUUUUCAUGUUUGAC